ACGACCUUACUUGAACAGGAUCUGUUCUAUAGGCUCAUACAACCGUAUCCUUGAUUGUAAAAGAGACGGGCAACUCAGUCUGGUGGAUGACAUAGAACCUUGUUGCCAGAGUGUGAUUAACGGUCCAGAUCUCAUGAGAUUGAGGGCUGUAGAGGAUCGUUCUCAAUCCCUUGUACAAGGGUUGGGGUGGCUUCGAGGUUGUCUGACAGACU